UACAGAGGGGGCGAGCGUUGUUCGGAAUUACUGGGCGUAAAGGGCGCGUAGGCGGCCAACUAAGUCAGACGUGAAAUCCCUCGGCUCAACCGGGGAACUGCGUCUGAUACUGGAUGGCUUGAAUUCGGGAGAGGGAUGCGGAAUUCCAGGUGUAGCGGUGAAAUGCGUAGAUAUCAGGAGGAACACCGGUGGCGAAGGCGGUUCUCUGGGCAUUACCUGACGCUGAGGAGCGAAAGUGUGGGGAGCGAACAGG
rnacentral:rRNA from 1 species